AACGAACGCUGGCGGCAGGCCUAACACAUGCAAGUCGAACGCCGUAGCAAUACGGAGUGGCAGACGGGUGAGUAACGCGUGGGAACAUACCCCUCGGUUCGGAAUAACUCAGGGAAACUUGAGCUAAUACCGGAUACGUCCGAUGUUUUAAUCGACCUUGGAGAAAGAUUUAUCGCCGGAGGAUUGGCCCGCGUCUGAUUAGCUUGUUGGUGAGGUAAUGGCUCACCAAGGCGACGAUCAGUAGCUGGUCUGAGAGGAUGAUCAGCCACAUUGGGACUGAGACACGGCCCAAACUCCUACGGGAGGCAGCAGUGGGGAAUAUUGGACAAUGGGCGAAAGCCUGAUCCAGCCAUGCCGCGUGAGUGAUGAAGG
rnacentral:rRNA from 1 species